AUUGAACGCUGGCGGCAGGCCUAACACAUGCAAGUCGAACGAGUGGCGGACGGGUGAGUAAUGCAUGGGAAACUGCCGGAUGGAGAGGGAUAACUAUUAGAAACGGUAGCUAAUACCGCAUCCUAUCGGCUCUGCCCCGAUGUGAUUAGCUAGUAGGUGGGGUAACGGCUCACCUAGGCGACGAUCCCUAGCGGGUCUGAGAGGAUGACCAGCCACACUGGGACUGAGACACGGUCCAGACUCCUACGGGAGGCAGCAGUGGGGAAUAUUGCACAAUGGGCGCAAGCCUGAUGCAGCCAUGCCGCGUGUAUGAAGAAGGCCUUCGGGUUGUAAAGUACUUUCAGCGGGGAGGCGUUACUCGAAGAAGAAGCACCGGCUAACUCCGUGCCAGCAGCCGCGGUAAUUC
rnacentral:rRNA from 1 species